rnacentral:lncRNA from 1 species
AACACUCAUUUUCAUUUUUUGAAAUCUGAAUUGAAUACAUAGGUCGCCUCCCUUUAUAUAGAUAAGAGAGAGAAUAUAAGACAAAUUCAAUAAAUAGAAGGAAAUAACAGAAUUUGACUAUCAUGGAAAUGAUGGUGGCUAUAUCUUGCCACUAUGAAAAUGAUGGUGCCUACAUCUUGUUACAAAAGAAAUGAUAGUGGCCGUAUCUUGCUACUAUGAAAAUGAUGUUGGCC